UCUUAGCGCAUAAUGGAAAGGAAAUAUUGAAAGCAAGGUUUUUACCUAAGGAGGCUUGCCGGAGAAGCCGACCUGAGGGAAGAAUAUGAGUGCAAGCAGUUUAUUUGGUAGGUGGGGGAUGGAGAAGUGAGACGGGAGCGAUGGGAACGAAUAUACAGUGCAUAGGGCCACUCCAGAGGUGUUAAAGCUCCAGCACUUCCAGCCUGCCUCGUGGGAAGGUCUUAGGCUGAGUCUGUACGUGCCUGCAGUAAGAAGCCAGCGGUCUGCAUAUAAUUGCUGAAGGGUGGUGGCUGGGUACCAACAGCAUUCACUACAGGCCUGCCUUGAAUACCAUCUAACGCAGUGCCCCGCAUAUCACAGGGGCUGGAAACCUAACAAUUUCACUUCCUGGGCUACUUGCUAAAAGUCACCUAAAGACAGUCUGAUUACUGCCAAAGAUAUGCUUUCAAAUAAGAUUUGGAUAAAGAAGGGAGGUAGAUGCCUUUUUUCAGCAGUGGAGUGAUGUCCAGACCAGUAGAUACAGGCAUCUGUGUGAACUCAUCACCAGCAACAAUUUCCUGAAACUUCCUGACCUCCAGACUGCAGCUUCAUUAGUGUGAGUUUAAAGCCAACUAGAUGCCAUUCUUAGAUUCCAUGCAUAUGGCCAAAGGUCCAGGAAAUAAGAAGAAACAGGGUUGAGGGGUUGGUGUUACGGGGCAUUUACUUGAAUUUUCUAUGCUAUAAUUGUCUCAUCUUUAAAAUGGUGAUAAUAAUAAAAUUGUCAGUUAUUAAAUAAAUUAACACAGUGAAAAA